GUGGGGAAUAUUGGGCAAUGGGCGAAAGCCUGACCCAGCAACGCCGCGUGAAGGAAGAAGGCUUUCGGGUUGUAAACUUCUUUUGUCAGGGACGAAAAAAAUGACGGUACCUGACGAAUAAGCCACGGCUAACUACGUGCCAGCAGCCGCGGUAAUACGUAGGUGGCAAGCGUUAUCCGGAUUUACUGGGUGUAAAGGGCGUGUAGGCGGGAAAGCAAGUCAGAUGUGAAAACUAUGGGCUCAACCCAUAGCCUGCAUUUGAAACUGUUUUUCUUGAGUACUUGAGAGGCAGAUGGAAUUCCUAGUGUAGCGGUGAAAUGCGUAGAUAUUAGGAGGAACACCAGUGGCGAAGGCGAUCUGCUGGACAGCAACUGACGCUGAGGCGCGAAAGCGUGGGGAGCAAACAGGAUUAGAAACCCGGGUAGUCC
rnacentral:rRNA from 1 species